rnacentral:rRNA from 1 species
CAGUCGCCACGGUAAUACGUAGGUGGCAAGCGUUGUCCGGAAUUAUUGGGCGUAAAGGGCUCGCAGGCGGUUUCUUAAGUCUGAUGUGAAAGCCCCCGGCUCAACCGGGGAGGGUCAUUGGAAACUGGGAAACUUGAGUGCAGAAGAGGAGAGUGGAAUUCCACGUGUAGCGGUGAAAUGCGUAGAGAUGUGGAGGAACACCAGUGGCGAAGGCGACUCUCUGGUCUGUAACUGACGCUGAGGAGCGAAAGCGUGGGGAGCGAACAGGAUUAGAGACCCGUGUAGUCCCUGUCUCUUAUAC